GAUGAAGAACGCAGCGAAAUGCGAUAAGUAAUGUGAAUUGCAGAAUUCAGUGUAUCAUCGAAUCUUUGAACGCACAUUGCGCCCGCCAGUAUUCUGGCGGGCAUGCCUGUCUGAGCGUCAUUUCAACCCUCAUGCCCCUAGGGCGUGGUGUUGGGGAUCGGCCAAAGCCCGCGAGGGACGGCCGGCCCCUAAAUCUAGUGGCGGACCCGUCGUGGCCUCCUCUGCGAAGUAGUGAUAUUCCGCAUCGGAGAGCGAUGAGCCCCUGCCGUUAAACCCCCAACUUUCCAAGGUUGACCUCAGAUCAGGUAGGAAUACCCGCUGAACUUAAGCAUAUCAAUAAGCGGAGGA
rnacentral:misc_RNA from 1 species